ensembl:snRNA U6 U6 spliceosomal RNA
GUGCUCACUUCAGCAGCACAUAUACUAAAAUUGGGAUGAUCCAGAGAAGAUUAGCACGGCCCCUGCACAAGGAUGACAUGCAAAUUCAUGAAGCGUUCCAUAUUUUC